ACCAAGUCGCCAAAGGCUCGUCAAGGAUAAGGCAAAGGAUGAAAACAUUACUCGUUUAACAUACAGAAUAAUCAAUCUUUUGAUAUCCUACAUUGUGUGAGGUCAGCUGAGAUAGACAACCGUAUUCUAUGUGGAGAAAUUUUCUUUCACGUUUUAAUGCUGAUAAACAAGAUCGACCAACUUGAACUAUAACUUGAUAGUUUUCAUCCUUUUUUAUUUGAUAUUCUUUGAUUGUGUUUAUGCAUAUUAAAGAGUAGUAUGAACUACCGAAAUUUUUAGUUUUUACUUUCUAGUUUUUUUAGCUUUAAUCGGAUAUUCAGAAUUUAUAAAAAGAAAAAUUACUUUCUCUUUUAUUUUUAUUUUUUUGAAAAGGAGGUUGAACUCCCCCACCUCUGCAUCAAAAUGAUGCACAUAACCACAUUUUAUUAAUUUAUUAGCAAGCCUGACAAAAAAAAUACAUCGAUCAAACAAACUAAACCACCAAACUAUGCCUACAAGCGUGAUAAAGGGGGUGACCAUACCAGGCCGUAUUCCCUGACCGCAUAUCACCGCCUAGCAUCCA
rnacentral:lncRNA from 1 species